CCAGCAGCCGCGGUAAUUCCAGCUCCAAUAGCGUAUAUUAAAGUUGUUGCAGUUAAAAAGCUCGUAGUUGAAACUUGGGCCUGGCUGGCGGGUCCGCCUCACCGCGUGCACUCGUCCGGCCGGGCCUUCCUUCUGAAGAACCUCAUGCCCUUCACUGGGCGUGCUGGGGAAUCAGGACUUUUACUUUGAAAAAAUUAGAGUGUUCAAAGCAGGCCUUUGCUCGAAUACGUUAGCAUGGAAUAAUAAAAUAGGGCGUGCGUUUCUAUUUUGUUGGUUUCUAGAGACGCCGCAAUGAUUAACAGGAACAGUCGGGGGCAUCAGUAUUCAGUUGUCAGAGGUGAAAUUCUUGGAUUUACUGAAGACUAACUACUGCGAAAGCAUUUGCCAAGGAUGUUUUCAUUAAUCAGUGAACGAAAGUUAGGGGAUCGAAGA
rnacentral:rRNA from 1 species